CCUACGGGGCGCAGCAGUGGGGAAUAUUGGACAAUGGGGGGAACCCUGAUCCAGCGACGCCGCGUGAGUGAAGAAGUAUUUCGGUAUGUAAAGCUCUAUCAGCAGGGAAGAAAAUGACGGUACCUGACUAAGAAGCCCCGGCUAACUACGUGCCAGCAGCCGCGGUAAUACGUAGGGGGCAAGCGUUAUCCGGAUUUACUGGGUGGAAAGGGAGCGUAGACGGUGCAGCAAGUCUGAUGUGAAAGGUCGGGGACCAACCCCGGGACUGCAUUGGAAACUGUUGAACUGGAGUACAGGAGAGGUAAGCGGAAUUCCUAGUGUAGCGGUGAAAUGCGUAGAUAUUAGGAGGAACACCAGUGGCGAAGGCGGCUUACUGGACUGUAACUGACGUUGAGGCUCGAAAGCGUGGGGAGCAAACAGGAUUAGAUACCCCAGUAGUC
rnacentral:rRNA from 1 species